CUGCUCGCUUUGGCAGCACAUGUGCUAAAAUUGGAACGAUACAGAGAUCAGCAUGUCCCCUGCCCAAGGACGAAACGCAAAUUUGUGAAGUGUUCCAUGUUUUU
ensembl:snRNA U6 U6 spliceosomal RNA